GUCGGGAUAGCUCACCUGGUAGAGCA
rnacentral:tRNA from 1 species